AGAAUAACGAGCACGCCGGCAAAUACUCAAAGCUCCGUACCAAGCGAUCGGGAGACAACUGGCACCAUACGAGACAGAUAAUCUCCUUGACGCAACCCUUCACACCUUCAGAACUGGGUAAGGUACUACAGUCUAUCCCAUCGGAAUAUCAUUUAAUAAUAUAAAAGAGAUUUAACACGGAAGAUGACCAUUGCCCUGUGGUUCUGGGGAUGAAUGUACUCGGCAACUGUUACACUGAAGUGCUGGAAACCUUUAAGAAAAUCCUACUGACCGCACCCCAUGUAACUGAACUCGUCAUAAACCAGACGGAAGGAAAAAGUACCCCAGACCAUUAUGGCGCCCCCUCCACUGUGGCGCGUAGAAAACAUCUCAGGUGGGAUCUGCUUGUCAUGCCAGUAACGUUGGAAACCAUCA